GACGAACGCUGGCGGCGUGCUUAACACAUGCAAGUCGAACGGAAAGGCCCUGCUUUUGUGGGGUGCUCGAGUGGCGAACGGGUGAGUAACACGUGAGUAACCUGCCCUUGACUUUGGGAUAACUUCAGGAAACUGGGGCUAAUACCGGAUAGGAGCUCCUGCUGCAUGGUGGGGGUUGGAAAGUUUCGGCGGUUGGGGAUGGACUCGCGGCUUAUCAGCUUGUUGGUGGGGUAGGGGCUUACCAAGGCUUUGACGGGUAGCCGGCCUGAGAGGGUGACCGGCCACAUUGGGACUGAGAUACGGCCCAGACUCCUACGAGAGGCAGCAGUGGGGAAUAUUGCACAAUGGGCGGAAGCCUGAUGCAGCAACGCCGCGUGCGGGAUGACGGCCUUCGGGUUGUAAACCGCUUUCGCCUGUGACGAAGCGUGAGUGACGGUAAUGGGUAAAGAAGCACCGGCUAACUACGUG
rnacentral:rRNA from 1 species